rnacentral:tRNA from 1 species
GAGGGUAUAACUUAGUGGUAGAGUGCAUGCUUAGCAUAUACGAGGUCCUGGGUUAAUCCCCAGUACCUCCA